UCCUACGGGGGGCAGCAGUGGGGAAUAUUGCACAAUGGGGGAAACCCUGAUGCAGCGACGCCGCGUGAGUGAAGAAGUAUUUCGGUAUGUAAAGCUCUGUCAGCAGGGAAGAAAAUGACGGUACCUGACCAAGAAGCCCCGGCUAACUACGUGCCAGCAGCCGCGGUAAUACGUAGGGGGCAAGCGUUAUCCGGAUUUACUGGGUGUAAAGGGGGCGCAGACGGCGAUGCAAGCCAGGAGUGAAAGCCCGGGGCCCAACCCCGGGACUGCUCUUGGAACUGCGUGGCUGGAGUGCAGGAGGGGCG
rnacentral:rRNA from 1 species